rnacentral:rRNA from 1 species
AGAGUUUGAUCAUGGCUCAGGAUGAACGCUGGCGGCGUGCUUAACACAUGCAAGUCGAACGGAAAGGCCCAAGCUUGCUUGGGUACUCGAGUGGCGAACGGGUGAGUAACACGUGGGUGAUCUGCCCUGCACUUCGGGAUAAGCCUGGGAAACUGGGUCUAAUACCGGAUAGGACGAUGGUUUGGAUGCCAUUGUGGAAAGUUUUUUCGGUGUGGGAUGAGCUCGCGGCCUAUCAGCUUGUUGGUGGGGUAAUGGCCUACCAAGGCGUCGACGGGUAGCCGGCCUGAGAGGGUGUACGGCCACAUUGGGACUGAGAUACGGCCCAGACUCCUACGGGAGGCAGCAGUGGGGAAUAUUGCACAAUGGGCGCAAGCCUGAUGCAGCGACGCCGCGUGGGGGAUGACGGCCUUCGGGUUGUAAACUCCUUUCGCUAGGGACGAAGCGUUUUUGUGACGGUACCUGGAGAAGAAGCACCGGCUAACUACGUGCCAGCAGCCGCGGUAAUACGUAGGGUGCGAGCGUUGUCCGGAAUUACUGGGCGUAAAGAGCUCGUAGGUGGUUUGUCGCGUCGUUUGUGUAAGCCCGCAGCUUAACUGCGGGACUGCAGGCGAUACGGGCAUAACUUGAGUGCUGUAGGGGAGACUGGAAUUCCUGGUGUAGCGGUGGAAUGCGCAGAUAUCAGGAGGAACACCGAUGGCGAAGGCAGGUCUCUGGGCAGUAACUGACGCUGAGGAGCGAAAGCAUGGGUAGCGAACAGGAUUAGAUACCCUGGUAGU